GGAGAGAUGGAGGCUAGAGACAAGCAGGUGCUUCGCUCCCUUCGCCUGGAGCUGGGUGCCGAGGUACUGGUGGAGGGACUGGUUCUUCAAUAUCUUUACCAGGAAGGAGUCUUGACGGAAAACCAUGUUCAGGAAAUCAAAGCUCAAGCCACAGGCCUCCGGAAAACAAUGCUGCUGCUGGAUAUCCUACCUUCCAGAGGUCCUAAAGCAUUUGAUGCAUUCCUAGAGUCCCUGCAGGAAUUUCCCUGGGUUAGGGAGAAGCUGGAGAAGGCAAGGGAAGAAGCCAUAACUGAGCUGCCUGCAGAUGACCGGAUGACCGGUAUCCCCCUACACAUCCUCAACAGCUCCCCAUCGGACCAGCAGAUUAACCAGCUGGCGCAAAGGCUGGGCCCUGAGUGGGAGCCCGUGGUGCUGUCUCUGGGACUGUCCCAGACGGAUAUCUACCGCUGUAAGGCCAACCACCCCCACAACGUGCAGUCACAGAUGGUGGAGGCCUUCGUCCGCUGGCGGCAGCGCUAUGGGAAGCAGGCCACCUUCCGGAGCUUGCAGAGAGGCCUUCAGGCCGUGGAGGUGGACCCCUCGGUGCUCCAGCACAUGUUGGAAUAAUGGUGUCUCCCUCCAUCCACCCAUGGGGAGCAUGUCCCCAAGUUGCAUGUGCAGAAUCCUGACUUUCUCCCAGGGCAGUUGAGGGUCUUAGGAGGUGGAGCCUUUGGGAGGUGAUGAGGUCACAAGCGUGAAGCCCUCUUGAAGAGACCCCACAGAGCUUCCUGGCUUCUUCUGCUUAGCGAGGAUACAGUGAGAAAGCCCCAGCUCUGAACCAGAAGAGUACCUUCACUAGAACGUGACCAUGCUGGUGGUGCCUUGGUCUUGAACUUCCCAGCUAUCAGAAUUGUGAGCAGUAAGUUUUUGUUGUUUAUAAGCUAUCCAGUCAGUGGUAUAUUUUUUUUAUAGCAGCACAAAUAGAAUGAGACAAUAUCAAAUGGAUUAGAUCAACUAAUUAUUAUUCUUUCUUUUGGUGGCAUAAAACCUCCCUCAUCAGCUUCUAGGAGAUGUAUUGAUUUAAUCAGGAAUUUGCUGAUACCAUAGUCUUUGGCAUGACUUAUUGGCUCAUUGCUGAUCCCAGGAAGAGACCAAGUGUUCACAAAUGAAGUUUUCAAUAUUUGUGGAAAGAGGGAGUCAACGGAUGCUGGGUCUAAAUGUUCCUACACUCCACAUCCUUGAUGCUGAGCAGUUCCCGGGGGCAGCUGCAGCUGCUGAAGCACAGCGUCCCAGGCUCCGCUGAGGGGACCUGCUGUAGUCAUCAGCACAGAAAGAACUCUCCAGAACAGGUGACCCAGGAUAUGCUUCCUUUCCCCCUACCUCAUUACAGGCUGCAUAGAGACUGUGUCCUGGUACUUACUUAAGGCAAUGCUAGAACACGUCCCCUUAGCUAAAUUCCUGCUCCAUCUCAAUGGACUCAGUCUGCCAGAGCACCACAUUCACAUACCCUGAGCAGAGGGUGGGAGGAGAGAAAAGGAGAGGAAGCAGCACUGAUGGAGCAUAUGACCCAGGCACAUGGAAGGUGAUCUCAGCUAAGUUUUGUGUCAUUUCAUCCUCUGACAACCUUAGGAGCCAGGAUUUUAGCCUCACUUCUCUUAUCUUACAGGUCAGGAACCUGAUGCUCCAGGAAGUUAACUAACCUGGCCGAGGUCAUUCACUAAGAUACAUAGCAAUGCCAAAAUCUGAACUCAGGUCUGCCUGAGUUUUUGUUGUUGUUGUUGUGGUUGUUGUUGUUGCUGUUGUUGGUGUUGUUUAUAACCUCCUGAGAUACAGCCAAGGGCCCAGAAUGGCCCUGUCAGCUUCAUAUUAAACAUGUCUCCAGUCCACCUGCUGGAUUUUUGGUGUCAGUGCCUUUCUCCUGUCAUUAUUACAGAAAUUAAGUGAGUGAUGUUCAUAAAAUAGAUGUUCUUUAAUAUCUCCUGCUGCGCCAACCAUCAAGUCAUGUGAUGUGGCACAGCAAAGUGAGGUUGUGGUUAUUGCCCUGUGGGAUUUCAUCAAAAGCCAAGAUAAUCCUGGCUGAGACAGUCUGCAGGCAGGGCACAGCUUGGGUUUGAAUAGAGCAUUUGUCUCAUUGGCUGAAGGAAAAGGACUCUAUUCAUAACCUUCUCCUGAUAGCCUUUGCGCGAGAAAGUGUAGGAAAAGCCAGAUUCUCAGCAAGAAGGGGCCUGUUCCCUUUCUCUGAGCAUGAGGAUUCCACAUUCCAUUCCUGGCAACCAUGAUUUAGAUAAAUGGUUUAAAUUUUCUUUUUCCCACAAUUAUGGGGGCAGUACUAAGAAGUUAUCAUCAUAUCUGAGUGUUCUGGGGAGUAAGUAUUCUUACUUGAUCUAGAUAAAGGAAAUCUGAGCUCCUCCUUGACAUCACUAAAGAAUCUCAUUGCUCUCUGUCCUCACCCUAAAGCUUUCCUUCUGUCUCCAAGGAGUAGACGCCAAAACUGUUUCCAAAGUGAAAUGUCACUAGCCCACUCUACCCUCUGAGGAACAAUCGCCCUGCCCUUUAUAGCUGACUGUGACUGCCAUCCAGCCUUCCAAACAGCUUAUCUUUUUAAAUCGCUCACAGGAUUGGGACAUGAUCUGCCAUCUGAACUUGUUAAUUCCAGCAAAGAUUAUGUGAAGUCAAUAUUGGUCAACCUGAAGUUUGUAACAUGUAACAAUUGAGGAAUUCCCUUCCUGGUCCCACCGACUGUGACCUAAACAGAUCUCCAAACAUGGUGGCCUCCCUUGCAGUACAGGGCUUGCUCAGGCAGUAAUGGCCCCAGUAUUUAAGAUUCAUAGUGAGUGCUUCAGGCACAAACUCAUGUGUGUGCGUCUUUACUGCUCCAGUCUCCAGGUACAGUUGGCACUUCUGUGAACCUCUUCCUUCCCAUGUCCAGGCUGUUGGCAUCCCACAUCAAGCCACUAUGGUUUCCUCUUCUUUCCCUAGGCUCUACAUCUCACAUGCAACCUCAAACUUUUCUGCUCUUCCUUGAUUCAUUCAUUCAUUCAUUCAUUCAACAAAUAAGUUUUUGUAGUACCUACAAUGUACCAAGCACUGGUGAAGGAUAUCAUAGUGAACUAAACAAGCAUAUAUCCUGUCCUCAUGGAGCUUACAAUCCAGUGAAGAGUUAUAAACUACAACAAAUGAUAAGAAGAAAAAGAUCAGUGAGCUAUGAGAGCAUACUGAAAGGAGGCCCACUCUUACUUGGGGGUCAGAAGGUUCCUAUGAGGAUGCUCUGGUCCCCUACUCUCUGCUUCAUUACCUCAGGCUUGGUCCUUGAGCUCUGUCAUCGGUUAGCCUUCCAUUUUGGUGGCUCUGUUGGACCAUUUAUUUUGCUUUUGAGUUUUCCUCUCCAAGAUGUCACCUUUCAGUAAUGCCCCUUUAUUCAAUGAACCACAGUCAAAGAUAACAGGGCAAAAGCUAUCAACGAUUACUUUACAAAUGCUAGUCAAUGACUAUGGAAACAGUGAGAAAGAGGUUGGCAUGAGUCACAAUAGCUUGUAACCUGAAAAUAUUACUGUAAAUUCUGUGUGCCGGUUCUACAGCACUGGUAAUGAGGUGCCAUUUCUUGUGACCUGGCCCUUCACCACACUCAGACAGCAUAUACUGUCCAGGCCCUAUAUGUAGGACCCCAAUAUUCUAAGACCUCAAUAUUAUUUCAUUUGCCUCUAGUUUGCCUAGAACUCGUUUCAUUUUUCCACUAAUUCAAAAAAAUAUUUAAGCCAAUGUGUCAGGUGCUGGAGCAGUGAGGUGACAAGACAUGAACAGCACCUUGUUCAAUGUAGCUUGUGUCCAUUGUUGCCAAGUUAAAUGAACAUAUCAGGACGUCAAUGGAGAUGCUGCCCAUUGUUGGUGAAAGGGCAACAGUCAUACUCAAGGCAACUCACAUGGUCCAGACUUUACAAAGCCACAGUCCGUGCUGCCAGCUUAGGGGAUUGGCAAGAACUUCCAGAUCUUUCCACUUGCUCUUCAGUCACUGAUUAUGUCAUUUUUACUUCCAUUGAAGUAAUACAACCCUAUAAAGAGUCAGAUAGUCUUACAUGACUGAUUACAAAGAACAUCCUUUGACCAUCCACUUCCCUCAUUUAAAUUUAGUCCACUAGGGAACCCACUUCAAUUUAUUUAGCUGUUUCAUUUCAGAUCCACUAUAUCUCUUAAUAGCUGCUCCCCCUUGAUUUUUUAUGACAAUUAUAUUGAGAUAUAAUUCAUAUACCAUGAAAUUUACCCUUUUAAAUAAUUGUACAAUUCAUUGAUUUUUAAAAAUAUAUUCAUGGAGUUAUGCAACCAUCACCACUAUGUAAUUUUAGAACAUUUUCAAUAUCCUAAAAAAAACAAAACACCAAACACACUAACAGCCACUCUCCAUGUCCUCUGUUCCCAGCCUUGGAAACCACUAAUCUACUUACCAUCUCAUGGAUUUGCUUUUUACGGACAUUUCAUUAAUGGGAUCAUGCAAUAUAUGGCCUUUUGUGUCUGGCUUCUUUCACUUAGAGUAAUGUUUUCAGAGUUCAUCCAUGUUGCAGCAUGUGUCAGUAAUUUAUUCCUUUCUGUAAGCUGAGUGAUGCUCCAUUGAAAGGAUAUACCACUUUUUUGUUUAUCCAUUCAAUAGUUGAUGGACACUGGGGUUGUUUCUACUUUCUGGCUAUUAUGAAGGAAGCUGCUACGAACAUCCGUGUACAAGUUUUUGUGUGGAUAUAUUUUGUCAAUUCUCUUGGGUACAGACCUAGGAGUGGAAUUGCUGAGUCACUGAUUUUUCAAGCUUUGGGCAUUAUUUACUGGCUUCUCACAUGGAGUCACUAUGGAGACAUCUUACCUUCCAUUGCUACCUCUCUUCCACAUACACACUUCCCAUCCUUCAUUCUUCCAAUGUUUAUAUCAUAAUUUUGAUUGGAUCAGAAUUAAUAUGAUAAGAUAAAUGUUGAACUACGACUACUUUUCCUUAAGGAACUUUUGAUUUUACCUGGAGUUAUUGGUCUUAUUUAUUUUCUAUGUAUCUAUCACUAAUUCAUCCUUAUUUCAUCUCCUCUCAAAAUGUUCAUAUGCAUUAGGCAUUCUAUCAGUUUUGUCCUCCCAGGUUUUUCUCAG